rnacentral:rRNA from 1 species
AUUGAACGCUGGCGGCAGGCCUAACACAUGCAAGUCGAACGAGUGGCGGACGGGUGAGUAAUGUCUGGGAAACUGCCCGAUGGAGGGGGAUAACUACUGGAAACGGUAGCUAAUACCGCAUACCAUCGGAUGUGCCCAGAUGGUCUUAGCUAGUAGGUUGGGUAAUGGCUCACCUAGGCGACGAACCCGAGCUGUUCUGAGAGGCUGACCAGCCACACGGGAACUGAGACACGGUCCAGAAGCCUACGGGAGGCAGAAGUGGGGAAUAUUGCGCAAUGGGCGCAAGCCUGAUGCAGCCAUGCCGCGUGAAUGAAGAAGGCCUUCGAGUUGUAAAGUACUUUCAGCGAGGAGGCGUUACUCACAGAGGAAGCACCGGCUAACUCCGUGCCAGCAGCCGCGGUAAUAC